ensembl:lncRNA novel transcript
GGCGGGAUCGCGUUGCAACGCGGCAAGGGCGAUGAGAGCGCGGAGGAGGCGCUGGUGGCCGAGUUUGGGGCGGGGACUGUCCCCAAUGCUCCGCAGCAAGGUUGGCUGAUUGUGGAGGCUAAAGCAACUCUACCUUGCCAGCUUAUCCACCAUGUGGACUUCUAAUUAAUCUCAGUUGCCGGAAUGCCUCUAAGAUUUCUACGUUAUCUACUGUGAAGAGCAAGUAAUUACUGCAAAUCCUGCCCUUGGGUCAAAACAACCUUGAUGACAUAUUCCUUCUGAAGCACAUAUACUCUUUCCCUAGGUAUAUAAGCCUUGGGUCUGGGGGCUAACGGUGCAGGGAUCCAUCAUCUCACAGCCACCCAAGACAUGGCUUUUGUUCAAAAAUCCCUAUUAAAUGUUUCAUUCUGAGA